rnacentral:tRNA from 1 species
AGUGGUUAAAAGGGUUGGCUGUUAACCAAAAGGUUGGUGGUUCAAACCCACCAGCCACUC